UCCGGGACAUGCAUAUUAGUCUCAAGAUAAUGGCAAAAAGUCCUGAAUUUGGUUAACUCUAAAGCUCAGUAUAUGCAAGUGAAUGAUGCAGAUGAAUGAAUCUUAAAAGUUUUCACAAGCACUUAUUGGGUGAGGUACUCUAGCUUUUAAUCCAAAAACGGUUUCCAAUCUCACUUGCUAGGUGGUUACUCUACUUUUGAAUGCAAUAUGCAACAACGUGCCAAUUGCCUUAUGGUGUGCAAUUGGGAUUUUUUUGUAUUUUUAAUUUU
rnacentral:lncRNA from 1 species